rnacentral:rRNA from 1 species
GAGACCUCAGGUCAGGUGGGGCUACCCGCUGAGUUUAAGCA